rnacentral:rRNA from 1 species
UGCGUAGGCGGCCUUUCAAGUCGGAUGUGAAAUCCCCCGGCUCAACCGGGGAAUUGCGUCCGAUACUGUUGGGCUUGAGUACAGGAUGAGAGAGCGGAAUUCCCAGUGUAGCGGUGAAAUGCGUAGAUAUUGGGAGGAACACCGGUGGCGAAAGCGGCUCUCUGGCCUGAUACUGACGCUGAGGCACGAAAGCUAGGGUAGCAAACG